rnacentral:rRNA from 1 species
UCAACCGCAAAAGAAGCAGAGGGGGCUUAGUGGUGGGGUGACUGCGUACCUUUUGUAUAAUGGGUCAGCGACUUAUAUUCUGUAGCAAGGUUAACCGUAUAGGGGAGCCGGAGGGAAACCGAGUCUUAAUUGGGCGUUAAGUUGCAGGGUAUAGACCCGAAACCCGGUGAUCUAGCCAUGGGCAGGUUGAAGGUUGGGUAACACUAACUGGAGGACCGAACCGACUAAUGUUGAAAAAUUAGCGGAUGACCUGUGGCUGGGGGUGAAAGGCCAAUCAAACCGGGAGAUAGCUGGUUCUCCCCGAAAGCUAUUUAGGUAGCGCCUCGUGAAUUCAUCUCCGGGGGUAGAGCACUGUUUCGGCUAGGGGGCCAUCCCGGCUUACCAACCCGAUGCAAACUGCGAAUACCGGAGAAUGUUAUCACGGGAGACACACGGCGGGUGCUAACGUCCGUCGUGAAGAGGGAAACAACCCAGACCGCCAGCUAAGGUCCCAAAGUCAUGGUUAAGUGGGAAACGAUGUGGGAAGGCCCAGACAGCCAGGAUGUUGGCUUAGAAGCAGCCAUCAUUUAAAGAAAGCGUAAUAGCUCACUGGUCGAGUCGGCCUGCGCGGAAGAUGUAACGGGGCUAAACCAU